rnacentral:sRNA from 1 species
CCUGCUGCCGGCUGCUGCGCUCCCUAAACCAGACAGGUGUGCAGUGGGCUCACCGGCCUGACCUCGGCCACUGGCUCACCAGCUCUGACCACAAAGCUGAGCUCUCUGUCCUGGCUGCCCUCUCCCUCCUCGUAGUUUUUGUGCUGGUGCAGAGGGGGUGCUCCCCUGUGUCCAAGGCUGCCCUGGCGCUGGGGCUGCUGGGCGUCUACUGCUACCGGGCGGCCAUCGGGAGUGUCCGGUUCCCGUGGCGGCCGGACAGCAAGGACAUUUCCAAGUAAGUGCGUGGCGGACACGCGGCGCGUGGAACCACUUUACUCUGAUGAACUGAGAAGACCAAGCCAGUCUUCAGAGCACUGGAGUUUGGUGUUUGUGAAUUGUGAUUGUGUCAACAGCUACUGGAGUGUAACUAAGAAAACCUCAACCAGCCACAUUGUUAGCACUUUGUAUGUUUUAUGUAUUACUUUUAGGAGAGAAAUCACUUGAAAGUAAGAUUUUUUUAAUUUAAAAUAAAACCUUCAGGGUGUGUGAUGGGACAGAC